rnacentral:lncRNA from 1 species
AACAUAACGUGUAAGGUAAUUUAUUUUAAAAGUCAUUACUUUAUUACAUUGAGUUGCAAGCUACCCCUUGGUCGUUAGGGCAAAUCUGGUCUGUGAUAGGAGUUUUUUUUUCUCACACCUAGCUCAGAUAUUAGACUAUUCUUUAGUAAACAUUGACUAGUCUUGUUCAGCUAUUAGCCCAACUUGCAACAAAUUGCUGUUCCCAUCUCAUUUCUUUCCCUCUUCCACGUGUCAUCAUUCAUCAUUGUCAGUGGCUCGCUUGUGGGCGUGCAGGCAGGAUAUGGCAGCAGCUUCGGUUGUGCGUCAAGAAUUCUGCAUACAGUAGCGCGUUUGUAGGAAUGUGUGGUUAUUCACAGGCAAAUUGUUAUGUGCUAUGGAGGUACAUUUGUGUCUUUUUGUCGAGAGCAAAACCUUUUUUAUUUUCAAUCAAAAAUAAUUGUUCUGAAAGCAACUUUUUUCCGACACAAAGGAAGUCAAAGCGGACACCUACGAAGAUGGCAUCUCAGAGUGAGCUGACCAAGGGGUCGAAAAUAUAGAUAUUGCCAGAUGUUCACUGUCUGAGGAACAGGCCGUGUAAGCUGUAUUGCUGGCAAAAGUGUCCAUAACCAGAGCAUAAAGUACUCUCUAGCCACUUAGUGUGGACACCAGGUGAGACCACACACACAAUAACAGUCUCUCUUCUUCACUUCAUCCCUCUCUCCAUUCUCCCUAAACCCCUCCCGCAUCUGAACUGGCUGACACAGAGGGCAGGGCAUGAUCAUAGGUGAGAUGUCACUUGGUCGGGUCAACAGGAAGUAUUAUUAAAAAGAUGCUUUACAUUGAAAUACAGACAGAGAUGAAGUAGUCCCAGAGUUAAUGAUCCAAGGUCAGUUUUGCAUUUCACCUCCUGAUUAAGAUGACUGACCAUGUUAGAAUAAAAAAACAAGGCUUAAUAAUCAUGUUCUCUCUCUAUCCAUCUGUCUCUCGUCUGCAGGUAUGUUAUGAUGUGAGAGAGGAAGCCAGUCCCGUCAUCGCCACCUCACCCGCUCUUAAUAUACCUUUUGGGCCAACUGGGGGCCAAAGGCUGGUUAGGAAACACCGCAAUUGUGAUGAACUGAGAGGAUAUUAGGGUAGCACUGAAAUUCAUGAGUCAUAUGCUGUCUGCCGCUGUUCUUACCUCUUUCUCUUUCUGUCUUCUACACCUCUCACCUCAUCUUUCUUCCUCGUUUUAUAAUGCACACCAUAUGUGCAUUGAAGUACAGAUUGAACUUGUAUUUAUAAUAUAGUAUUACAAUUAUCAUAAUUAUAAUGCAUUUAUGUAUUUAUAACACCUGGAUAAUGAACUUUUUUCAAUAAAGCAUUUCACAUUCUCCACUGAUUG